rnacentral:rRNA from 1 species
AACGAACGCUGGCGGCAGGCUUAACACAUGCAAGUUGAGCGCCCCGCAAGGGGAGCGGCAGACGGGUGAGUAACACGUGGGAACGUGCCUUUUGGUUCGGAACAACCCAGGGAAACUUGGGCUAAUACCGGAUAAGCCCUUACGGGGAAAGAUUCAUCGCCAAAAGAUCGGCCCGCGUCUGAUUAGCUAGUUGGUGGGGUAAUGGCCCACCAAGGCUAUGAUCAGUAGCUGGUCUGAGAGGAUGAUCAGCCACAUUGGGACUGAGACACGGCCCAAACUCCUACGGGAGGCAGCAGUGGGGAAUAUUGGACAAUGGGGGCAACCUUGAUCCAGCCAUGCCGCGUGAGUGAUGAAGGCCUUAGGGUUGUAAAGCUCUUUUAGCAGGGAAGAUAAUGACGGUACCUGCAGAAAAAGCCCCGGCUAACUUCGUGCCAGCCGCCGCAGUAAUAC